rnacentral:lncRNA from 1 species
AUGGAAGAGAUCUCACUGGAUGAGGAUCACGUUGUUUUCACAGUGCGAGGCUCUGCCUUCUUGAAAGCUCUGGCAGUAUCAAUAGAGGCUGUUCCUCAGAGCUUUUACAAAGCAGCCCCCCUGGCUGACAAGUCCUGGGGCAAGGCGUCUUGGACCACUAAUAACUCAGCAUCUCUUCUAGGCUUUUAUGGGCUCUUCAGUGGCUCUGCAUGCCUCUGUAUCCCCUCAUGUCCAGGCAGUGGCAAAUAGAGGCCAUGAUGCCACAGCUACCAGCUUGGGAGCCAGGUGUCAGCGACUGACCCAGAGCUGCUUCUCACUGUGCUAUUUCAGGCUUUUAGGACAUGGGACUGUGGAAUCUCCGCAUUGGAAGAAAGAGAUCUCAGAGCUCAGUUGAUUCAGUUCCUGGUACCUGAAUCCCCUCUAAUCCUAGCAGUGGCAUCCUUAUUGAGCGCCUUCCCGUAGGUCAUCACAAUAUUGCCACCAAGUGAGGGCCCAGUGUGUGAACACCUCUUGAGUUAGUCUGUUCAGCUCAGAGGUUUUGACUGCUGGAAACACACCCCUCACCCGGUGCUUAAGAUCUUUUAGAACGUAUAGUAUAACGGAGGACAGCACAUCCUGCUUGUAUGUGAAUCCAGGGUCCACCUACUAGCUGACUAACACUGGGCAAGUUACUGAGUCCUCUGUCCCUCACUUUCCUCAUCUGAAAAAUGGGGAUAAUAAUAUUACAGUCUCAUAAAGCUGUUGUACAGAUUAGGUGUUAAUGCAUGAAAAAUUUUUUUUAAGUGCCUGGCAUAGAGAAAGUAAUGUAUGUUAUGUGUAUAUAUAAAUGUAAAUAUAUUAUUAUGUAAUAUUGUUGUAUAUCAUAUAUAAUUAUAUGUCAUGUAUAAUCAAAUAUAUAUCAAACAUCUAUCAUACAUACGACAUAUACACGCACAUACCUAUACUGUUAUUAUUAUACUGUUCUUGCUACUGUAACUUAACAGCAACAAAACUCCUCAAUAGAGAGAGGAGACUUCAAGUGUAAAUCUUCCUGGGAAGGAAAUGAAUGAUCUUUGCCUUGUAUGAGCCAUGUGCUUUACAUGGCAUCUUACCUAGUCUUCACAACAAUAUAUAUGAGAGAUAUUGUCAAUUCCUAUUUUACGGAGGAUGAAACUAAGGCUCAUGUCAUCGGGCAAGCGCUCAAGGGUCAUUGACAUAGUAAGUGGCAGAGGUGGCCUUAUUUCAAAGGCAUUAAACUGCGGUGACUUAACUUCCUACGGAGGCAGACAUGGCUGGGACCAGCUCUUUCUCUGAGAGGCGGCUGGUACCACUGGCUUCUGGAUGAGGCAUGGGUGACUGAAGAGAAGAAUCUUGGAGGAGGAGGGCUAUACGAUGCGAGAGUGCGGGGCUGCCAAGGCGCCGGGUGAUGGGAAGAAUGUGGACACCCCUCUCCUCCCCUUCAAGACCCUCCGUCAGAGACAGACCCUGCUGCCCGCUGUGAGCUGCUCUUCCCUCCUAGGACUGUGUCAGCCGCUCCCUGCGUGUCCUUUACUCCCAGCAUGCUCCUCUGCCAGCUGAGCAACCUCUCCUGCCUUCAAACCUUUUCCUUGCACAGUGGAAUGACUUAAUGGCUUCCUGCCAAGACCAAAAUAGUCUGGGCUGUAUUUAUCUGUUCUGUGCUCACACAGGACGGGGAACAUCACAGUAAAGCUUCAGUGCUCUUGAAUUUGGAUGAGGCAAUGCUCAGACUAGUGCUUGGCAAAUAUAUUUGCUUUUAAAAUUUCUUUUGAAGUGAGCUGAGGUGAGGAGAGGAACAGAAGGCAUAGAGAGGAAUGAAAAGUUAUGGGUCUUUUAGUCUUGGUCAUAAGCUUCAGAAAAUUCCUGUGCAUGGGAGUGAUGACUCAGAUGGUAACCUAGCACUCGUGAUAAGCAGCUUAUCCAUAGGAUCUAACCACCGAGGUUUCCCUGUAGUACAAUGAGAGACUUAGAUGUACUGAUCACCAGAACCCCAUCGACUGACCACUAAGGCUUUAUACCUUACCUCCACAAUGGGAUAGUUCUUGGCCCAAGUGCUAUUCGCUGGGUCUGGAAUUUCUUUGCUACACCACUGAGGUCUGAGGGCCAAAAGGAGAACAAAUACCCUGCAGGUAAAGAAAACAGUGACAUUGGUUAAGUGGGCACACGGUGGCCUGGAAGCACAGUGACUUCAGUGUAGGGGUAUGCAAAUGAGUAAACUGUAAACACUGCAGGAGAAAGAUGAUGCAUCGUCCAAGUCUGGACUAGUUUUCUGUGAAGUUUGGAUAGAUGAUAAAGACUCGUGGGGCAACGACUUAGGGUUUGCUAAAUAAACUACGGAACUUUUGCUCGGUGUAAUGUUUAGCUAUCACUAAGCAGCCAAGCACUCACUCAACAAACGUUGAUUGAAUCCUUAAUGUAUGACCAGCACAGUGCCACAUGCUGGGGAUAAAACAGCAAACAAGAGGACAUGGUCAAUACCCUUGGGGAGAUUACUAUUUAUAUUUAGUAAAUUAGAAUGUUUAUAAAGAGCUUGUAAUGAAAACAAAGUAAAACGGGAUACAGGUGGUAUAAACAGC